GAUUCUUGGUCAUUUAGAGGAAGUAAAAGUCGUAACAAGGUUUCCGUAGGUGAACCUGCGGAAGGAUCAUUACAGAAAGUAAACGCGGAUCGAACCGCGAACUUCUAAACCUUUGACGAUUGACUCAUGUUGCCUCGGCGGGUUCUCCCGCCAGAGGAUACAUCAAAACUCCUGUUUUAACGGUGUUGUCUGAGCUACAAGCAACGAAUCAAAACUUUCAACAACGGAUCUCUUGGUUCUGGCAUCGAUGAAGAACGCAGCGAAAUGCGAUAAGUAGUGUGAAUUGCAGAAUUCAGUGAAUCAUCGAAUCUUUGAACGCACAUUGCGCCCCUUGGUAUCCCGAGGGGCAUGCCUGUUCGAGCGUCAUUUCACCACUCAAGCCUGGCUUGGUGUUGGGCGACGUCCCCUUUGGGGACGCGCCUCGAAACGCUCGGCGGCGUGGCACCGGCUUUAAGCGUAGCAGAAUCUUUCGCUUUAAAAGUCGGGGCCCCGUCUGCCGGAAGACCUACUCGCAAGGUUGACCUCGGAUCAGGCAGGGAUACCCGCUGAACUUAAGCAUAUCAAUAAGCGGAGGAAAAGAAACCAACCAA
rnacentral:rRNA from 1 species